rnacentral:rRNA from 1 species
UACGGAGGGUGCGAACGUUAAUCGGAAUCACUGGGCGUAAAGCGCGCGUAGGCGGUUUGUUAAGUGGGAUGUGAAAUCCCCGGGCUUAACCUGGGAGUUGCAUUUCAAACUGGCCGACUAGAGUACGGUAGAGGGAGGUAGAAUUUCCUGUGUAGCGGUGAAAUGCGUAGAUAUAGGAAGGAAUACCAGUGGCGAAGGCGGCCUCCUGGAUCGAUACUGACGCUGAGGCGCGAAAGCGUGGGGAGCAAACAGG